rnacentral:misc_RNA from 1 species
UUCUAGCAACCUCAGGUAUUUGCUUUUGUUCAUGCAUGUGUGGUUUUAAAUUUUUAAAUUUUCUAGAUGAUGAUAAGAAGUCCAUAUAGCACUAAUGAUUUAAGAAACAGCACAAGGUCCCAUGCCCUUUUUGGGUGGCUAAUUGUCUUUCUCACCUCUUAGAGGUGAGGACGGUCGAGGUCCAGUGUUUGAAUGGCAGCCUACCUGCUUCUGGUCAGGGCCAGAGUGCAUGGGUGGGUUAACCUAUUUCAUCAUGGAAACUGAAUGGAUGUUGUUGUAAGACAACAUUUUUAUAUAUAAGUUUGAUUUCAGGCGUCAACAUGUUCAAUAUUAGAACCUAUAUCUUCCAUUUUGUGUAGAUUAUAGCAUUUGACACAGUAAUUAGCAAAAUAACUGUGAUGCAAUUCACCAAAAUACUUUUCAACCACAAAAAUGAUAUGCGAAAUUCGAAAACGUUGCUGUUUCAAUCGCAUUGGAAUUAUUAAUUGUUGUGACAUAUGCAAUAGCUCCCCCAUCGAGGGUUCUUGGCAUUGGAAUACAUUACUGAAGGAUCAACUCUUUUGAACAGGUAUCAAGUACUGGCCGGUGUUAUUGAACAGCGGAUUUUGGAACCUUUAUUACACCAGCACAAGUUUAUGCUUAGUGCAAUUUGUUUUGCUGUUCGAACCGGCAACACAUACUUGGGUUCAUUGUUGUGGGUGGAUUAUGCUCGGUUGAUAGGAAUUCAAAAGGCUCAGGAGGAGCAGAAAGAAUUGGCUUGAUUUAUGAAUAUUGGUUUGCAACAUUAUGGCAGUUGCUUGUAGUAGGGUAUGUCAGUUAAAUUUUUGUGAGAGCUUUUGUGGGUGUUGAAAUGGUAGAAUUUUGAAGAUUGAAACGUCAGAAUUACUUGAUAAAGCUGACAUUUUGAACAUGUAGUGCAAGUAGUAAAGAAUAUAUAUAUGUAAUUUUUUUUAUUUGAAUAUCUUUUGUUAUUGUGAAAAUAAGGGAGAAUUUGCCAUCUA